UACGUAGGGUGCUAGAGUUGUCCGGAUUUACUGGGUGUAAAGGGUGCUCAGGUGGAUUUGUAAGUCAGAGGUGAAAUCCCAAAGCUUAACUUUGGUGCUGCCUUUGAUACUGCAAGUCUAGAGUUUGAGAGAGGGCAAUGGAAUAUCUGGUGUAGCAGUGAAAUGCGUAGAUAUCAGAUAGAACACCAAUGGCGAAGGCAGUUGCCUGGCUCAAAGCUGACGCUAAAGCACGAAAGUGUGGGGAGCAAACAGG
rnacentral:rRNA from 1 species